UACGUAGGGGGGCGAGCGUUGUCCGGAUUUAUUGGGCGUAAAGAGCGUGUAGGCGGUUCGGUAAGUCUGUCGUGAAAUCCUGAGGCUCAACCUUGGACGUGCGAUGGAUACUGCCGGGCUAGAGGAUGGUAGAGGCGAGUGGAAUUCUCGGUGUAGCGGUGAAAUGCGCAGAUAUCGGGAGGAACACCAGUGGCGAAGGCGGCACUCUGGGCCGGGUACUGACGCUGAGGAGCGAAAGCGUGGGGGAGCGAACAGG
rnacentral:rRNA from 1 species